rnacentral:rRNA from 1 species
UACGUAGGGUGCGAGCGUUAAUCGGAAUUACUGGGCGUAAAGCGUGCGCAGGCGGUUUUGUAAGCCAGAUGUGAAAUCCCCGGGCUCAACCUGGGAAUUGCAUUCGAGACUGAAUAGCUAGGGUACGGUAGAGGGAAGCGGAAUUUCCGGUGUAGCGGUGAAAUGCGUAGAUAGUCGGAAGGAACAUCAGUGGCGAAAGCGGCUUCCUGGACCAGUACCGACGUCAGGCACGAAAGCGUGGGGAGCAAACAGGA